AUUGUAGUGUGAGAGGCCGUCGUCUACUGGUGUAAAUCGGCGACAGGGAGGAAAAUACUGUUUAAAAUCGAUUUUUACAUCUUCAAGGGAAAAUCGACUUUAUCGUGAACUAUUUGUCCGGUAAUUUUGCACACAAACUGUCGUUUACAGACAGGCAUUGUAGCAUCAGGAGUAUCUGCGGAAUCCGUGUAGCACAGAAUCCUGGGACAUAAAAGAUCAUCGGACUAUGCAACAGUGAGCAGCACCUGACCCCUUUCAACUCUUUUUUUCCAGUGGCUCCAGGUAAGGGUUUGGCUCCAAUCGUAGGUAAAUCGGACGCUUUAUUUUUACAUCCUAGCCUGUUGUUUGGGGACUGGCUACCUAAUGCUCUUCAGGAACGGCUUGGCCUAUUUCGUAUGCAUGGCUACAUUCUUACCGGAGAUAAUUAGUCCGAGGUUUUGUUGUUUUAUUCUUAGAUAGCACCCGAUUAAGCCAUUUGUUUUCCUGUAUCACUUGUU
ensembl:lncRNA